CUCACAUGGGUGCAGCAGGAACUUUCACUUCACCACGAGAACAUAACUCAUCUAAACACACUUUCCCAGUCUUGGCGCAUGUUUAGUGCACAUGUACACCCUGAUUUCCACCGUGGAUGACAGUGUUUGUCACCUUUUUUGUUGUCAAAAUCCGUAUUUUGCCACCCUAGAUGAUUUAAGAUCAAGCCGCCUACAGAAAGAAGCUGAUCACUCAUCCCAGAAGCCAUUGCCUAUAUAGAAAUGGAAACUCCUUCUUGACAUCAACCACAGCGGUUUGGAGCCACCACCAACUUACUAUAGUUCAAUGUGGAGGCCAAGUGGCCUGGGUCUGUUCAUGACUGGAGGAUUUAUCAUGAGUCUAACAUGAGCAACAGACUGCAACGUGGAGAGUUUGAUGGCCUUCUGCUGGGUGACAGGGGUUACCAUGCCAACCCAGGCUGAUGACCUCAUACCCUGACCCUGAACCAGGCUCACUGCAGGAUGAGAGCCUGGGUGGAGAUGACCAUAGACCUGCUGAAAGCCCAUCUCCAGUACCUACAUCACCUCAGGGUGACUCCUGGGAGGACCUGUGAUAAUAUUCAUAAUACUGCCACUGUAGCUGACACUGUUUAAGAGUCUUUAGGUUGCCAUGGCAAUACAGGAAGGUGGUCAUUUACACCCAAGUAAAUUUUAUUUUGGAAAGCAGUAUUAAAAUAUUUGUCCUGUGGUACCUUUGAUCAUUUUGGUCUGGUAAAAUGCAUUACUUUUAGUCUAGUUUUUCGUUUGGUUUAUGGUCCUGGUUGAUAAAGUUGUAGCAGUUGUCAUGUGACUUACGCCACAGAUGUGAGAUGCAGCAUGGGAUAGAUACAGAUCAGGCAGGUUCUUCAGCCAGUUUUACAGUCCGUCUGCCUUUAAUUUCUGUUGGUCAUCCAGGCAAACGGUAAUUAUUAAUACAUUUCAGAGAACUGUAUAUUUGUUUAGACAGAGACAAAGGUAUUUGUUUCUUUUUCAUUUCAUGACUUGAAUAUGAGAUUAUCUUUGUAGUUUUCACAGUGUACCACCAAAUGAUAUGUUUGAGAAGAAUAAACCUUUUGUGGACAUCAGUACAAAGUAUGGACUCUUUCACUGACCAGCAGUUACAGCCACUAUUAGAGGAGAGCAACACUCUGCCCUACAAACUGAAGACCCAGAUGAUGACCUCAUCCACCUGCCAGCUAUCCAAGAUAACAGAGCAGUCAGAGACACCAUAUGCAAUAAUCACUGCAGAGUUUAAGUCUCCAUCAUCACCACCACAGCAGUCAAAUAAACACAUGAUAC
ensembl:lncRNA